UUGCCUAGACUGGUCCCAAUCUCCUGGCCUCAAGGUGCUCCUGCCUCAGCCUCCCAAAGUGCUGAAAUUAUAGCCAUGAGCCACUGUGCCUGGCCUGAGCUUCAUUUUAAUGGUCGUUUUUCCCCUUUUGUAUAUAACCAUUUGUAUGUCAAAAUGAGGCACUACCUCAAGUGGUUACAAUUGCUCUCUUGGUUCUGUUCUGAGUCAGACCAUUAUCAAAAGCAUCAGAUGACAUUUCUAAUAGAUGACUUUCUGAAUUCUCUGAAACUGAACAGCUGUUUAAAACAAAUGCCCUUUCUGUGGGGAUUUAUCAUCUGCAAAUCAAUUGAUUAUUCAUGAUGGAAAGAUCUACAUUCUGAGUGACAUUUAAAUCAGAUUUUAAUUAUAUUUUGAAUUUUAAUUUCUUGCCCAGCAUGCAAUGUAUACAAAAAUAUGUUUACAGAAAAUAAUGAAAAUUUUUCAGUUGAAAAAUAUUAUCUUCUGAAAGUCAGAGGGAUCUGGGGGAUUCUUUAACAAAUGAUGUUGUUGAGAAACAACCCUAAUAAACCCAUUGGAGCCUCUCAGCUACUGGCUGUUUUUUGUCUAAGUUCUUACUGAAUUCAGGAGGUAAUGGGUAGGGACAUCAUUUCAUGUAGGGGUUCCAAUAUAGUGAACUAUAAUGUCUUGAUCUCUACAAGCUUAAUAAAGUCAGCCAAUUAAAUUUUAAGGCGGUGAGAGGAGGCUGCAUAGCCGCGCGGAGGAGGCAGGAGCCAGAGCGCGAGUAGUAGCUGGGUGGGUACCAUGGCUGGGAUCACCAUCAUCGAGGCGGUGAAAUGCAAGAUCCAGGUUCUGCAGCAGCAGGUAGAUGAUGCAGAAGAGCGAGCUGAGUGCCUCCAGCGAGAAGUUGAGGGAGAAAGGCGUGCCUGGGAACAGGCUGAGGCUGAAGUGGCCUCCUUGAAUGUAGGAUCCAGCUGGUUGAAGAGGAGCUGGACUGUGCUCAGGAGUGCCUGGCCACUGCCCUGCAAAAGCUGGAAGAAGCUGAAAAAGCUGCUGAUGAGAGAGAGAGAGGUAUGAAGGUUAUUGAAAACCGGGCCUUAAAAGAUGGAGAGAAGAUGGAACUCCAGGAAAUCCAACUCAAAGAAGCUAAGCACAUUGCAGAAGAGGCAGAUAGGAAGUAUGAAGAGGUGGCGUGUAAGUUGGUGAUCAUUGAAGGAGACUUGGAACGCACAGAGGAACAAGCUGAGCUGGCAGAGUCCCGUUGCCGAGAGAUGGAUGAGCAGAUCAGACUGAUGGACCAGAACCUGAAGUGUCUCAGUGCUGCUGAAGAAAAGUACCUUCAAAAAGAAGACAAAUAUGAGGGAGAGAUCAAGAUUCUUACUGAUAAACUCAAGGAGGCAGAGACCCAUGCUGAGUUUGCUGAGAGAUCGGUAGCCAAGCUGGAAAAGACAAUUGAUGACUUGGAAGAUAAACUGAAAUGCAGCAAAGAGGAGCACCUCUGUACGCAAAGGAUGCUGGACCAGACUCUGCUUGACCUGAAUGAGAUGUAGAACGCCCCAGUCCCACCCUGCUGCUGCUUCUCCCUCUGACCCUGACUUCACCUGAGGCCAGCCUGCCCAAAGCUGACCUUUAAUUGAGGGCUGAUCUUUAACU